GUUUUUUUGUUAUUUCUUUUCCAUUCUGCUGAUCUCAGAACAGUCCGACCGUGACUUCCACUCAGGCCUGGUGUCGUGGAGAACCGCAGCACGCCGCUCAGCGCCAACCUCUAAACCCUCUGCCUGGUUUGAUGGCGGUGCAGUGGUAAAGCGUAACGACUGGAGAGCAGCAGGAAAAAGUGGUCAUUUUUCUAGACAUGAAGAAAAACCUGGAGUUAAAGAAAAGUAAAAACGGGAACGACUAAAAACAAUAGUAAUAAAUUAAAGAGGAAAAAAAAAUUCAAGUCAACAAUUCGUCAUCGUCAACAACAACAACGAAAGACAUUCAAAUAAAUACAGUGGAAUGUAGUUCUCUAUUCUCUAGGCCUGAUGUCGGCACAUUCUCUGGAACUCUCCUCGGACUUCACGCCAUCCGUAUUUCCACGUUUCCCACAUUUUUUUAAAAAAUAUAUUUUUUCACAUCUGCUUCAAACUCUGUAAGUGCUGGAUGUCAAGUUUUUUUUUUUUUUUGGAGCUAAACCAUAAGGCGUAACUGACCUGGAGCUGAAGUUUGGUGGGUCAGAGUGGAAGACGUGACGUUGAAGACAAACAAACAAACAAACAAACAAACGACAGAGGACGAGGGUCACGACCAGAGCAGUGACAGAACUGGGCAAAGAACAGACAACAGCGUCUCCUCCUGUCCUCUCUCAGUCCCUGUCUGUUCCUCCUGUCUCAUUGACGUCCUCCUCACCCUCUGUGGUAGAACCUUCUCCUGCCUUUCACACAGUUCUGUCACCUUGUCCUGGUCCCCGACCACAGAAGAAGAACCUGACGUCACGGCGGAGCAGGAAGGCGUUCUGCUUCUUUACAUUCUUCAGCCACUCUUCCUCAGAUUCUACGAGAUGAAUCAGCUCUGCAGCAGUCACAUGACUGGGUUUCUCUCCGAUGACCUUUGACCUCACUCAUCCACAGUACAGUAAAUCAUCAGUGACAGACAGGUCGACAGCCUCGCAUUGCAUCGUGGGUAAUCCAGACUGAAGUAAAGCUGAUCGUUCGGGAGCUUCGUUCUGCUGAGCUGCUGUGCUUUGAGUGAUGACCUCAGAGACCAGCUGUGAUGAUGUCAUCAUGACGGAAUCUUCAUUCACGGCCACUGGCCGAGUAGGAAAACUGGGGGAAGUGAGGUCUUCGCUCAUUGUCCAGACAGUCCAUCCCAUCUUCAUCAACUGAGAGAGGGAGGAGGGAAGGAGGAAAGGAAAAGAAGAAACAGCAGCUGCAGGUGCAGCACCGGCCGUCUGAGUCGAUGGGGAGCAGUCUGUUGUAAAGCCAUCAUCUGAUGGAGUGGCUUCUGCAGCAUUCAGGAGUCGCAGCUUCACCCAUGCUGCAUACAUCGAAGGACUUGGAGCAAAGUCUGCUUUUUGUAAAAGCCACAUGUUGUGUGAACUACAUUUUCCUGGCAUUUUGUCAGGAAACAGUAUCUAUAUAGCAUGUUAACGAACCAAAACAAGGAAUUUGCAAUUUCCAGAGAUUUUCUAGGUUUUUUUUUAUUGUACAAACCUUGUUUGAAGAUUGGGAUGUUGAUAUUGUCACAGCAGUUCACUGUCUGACUUUGUUACUUGUUACUUCACGAACACAUCUAUUGCAUAUUUCUAAUUAAACAAUUAAACUCAUAAUUGUUAUUACUGUCACUACUGCUUUCUUUGUUUAUUCUUUUGUUCUUUGUGUUUAUAUCAUUUGUAAUAUGUGAGUGAAAUCUUAAUUUUGCCUGUUAUGUUAGUCAAACAGUGGAAAAAUAUGUUGAAAAUUUUGGAGAAUAAAUUUCAAAAUUUAGUGGUUACCACAUCCUAAUUGCAUGUGUCUUGUGGUCAGAUGGUACAAAAUUUUAUUUUUCUGCACGUUUCUCAUCUAAUAAAAGCAUUUUAAAAAAUU